CAUGCGCACUCCGGGAGAUUUGACAGGAGGCGUCGCGAGCGGAGCGGAAGGGCCGAGGCGGCCGUCAAGAGGGAGGUUCCGCGAGGCGCUUUAAGCCCCUCUGGAGCGUCUAUGGGGCCCUGAGGGGCUAAAGGAGGCAUGGAGAACGCGGCCGAGGAAGGGCUGGGCAAGGGGAACCCUAAGCGGGGCGGCGCCUCGGGGGGAGGCCGCUCCCCGGCUCCUGCCUCGGAGGACGAGGGCAAGAAUAAGCCCAAGCUGAACCUACAGAUUAAAACUUUGGCAGAUGAUGUGCGUGACAGAAUAACCAGUUUUAGGAAAUCAGGUGUCAAAAAGGAGAAGCUUCUGAUUCAGCACCCCAUUGAUUCACAGACUUCUAUAAAUGAACUGCCAAUGGCUCAGCCGCUGUUUGAUGAACGCUCAAUGAAUUUGUCAGAAAAAGAAGUUAUGGAUCUAUUUGAAAAAAUGAUGGAAGACAUGAACCUGAAUGAAGAGCGAAAAGCUCCUUUACGGAAUAAAGACUUGACCACAAAACGUGAGAUGGUUGUCCAAUACAUUUCUGCAACUGCCAAAUCUAUUAUUGGAAGUAGAGUUCCGGGAGGCCUGAAAAAUAGUAAGCAUGAGUGCACUCUGUCUUCCCAAGAGUAUGUCCAUGAACUACGGUCAGGUAUUUCAGAGGAAAAACUUCUCAACUGCUUAGAGUCCCUGAGAGUCUCUCUAACAAGCAACCCAGUCAGUUGGGUUAACAAUUUUGGACAUGAAGGACUUGGGCUUCUUUUGGAUGUUCUUGAAAAACUGCUAGAUAAGAAACAGCAAGAAAAUAUUGACAAGAAAAAUCAGCAUAAACUAAUACAGUGCCUCAAAGCAUUUAUGAAUAAUAAGUAUGGACUGCAAAGAAUUCUAGGAGAUGAAAGAAGCCUUUUUUUACUUGCCAGAGCAAUUGAUCCAAAACAACCAAAUAUGAUGACAGAAACAGUAAAAAUACUUUCUGCCAUUUGUAUUGUUGGAGAAGAAAAUAUUUUGGACAAAAUUUUAGCAGCCAUAACAAUUGCAGCAGAGAGAAAUAAUGGAGAGCGGUUCUGUAAUAUUGUGGAGGGGCUUGAGAAUCAUGAAGCCUUGCAGUUACAGGCAGCCUGCAUGCAGCUCAUAAAUGCCCUUGUCACUUCUCCUGAAGAUCUUGAUUUUAGGAUACACUUGAGAAAUGAAUUUCUGCGCUGUGGGUUAAAGAAAAUAUUGCCAGAUCUGAAAGAGAAGGAGAAUGAAGAACUUGAUAUUCAGCUGAAAGUAUUUGAUGAAAACAAAGAAGAAGAUUUAAUUGAAUUGGCCCAUCGCCUCAAUGACAUCAAAGUUGAAAUGGAUGAUGUAAAUGAAGUUUACCACCUGUUACACAACAUGCUGAAAGAAACAACAUCUGAGAACUACUUUCUAUCCAUUUUACAACAUUUUCUACUCAUCAGAAAUGAUUAUUAUGUUCGUCCUCAGUAUUACAAGAUAAUAGAAGAAUGUGUUUCGCAAAUAGUAUUGCACUGUAGUGGUAUGGAUCCUGACUUCAAGUGCAGAGGGCGGCUGGAUGUAGAUUUCACUCACCUUAUAGAUUGCUGUGUGGACAAAGCAAAAGUAGAAGAAAGUGAGCAAAAAGCUAUAGAAUUUUCCAAAAAGUUUGAUGAAGAGUUCACAGCUCGACAGGAGGCACAAGGUGAAGUUCAAAAACGAGAAGAGAGGAUCAAAGAACUUGAAGCUGAAAUCCAGCAGCUACAUUCCCAGGCUCCUGUGUGUUCAAGUGGCUUAUCAGCAGCAGGGAUACCUCCACCCCCACCCCCUCUUCCAGGUCAUACAACCUCUACAGCACUUCCUCCACCACCUCCACCACCACCAUUACCUGGUGGUUUGUUGCCGCCACCACCACCACCACCUCCUCCUUUGCCUGGAGGGCCAAUACCACCACCUCCUCCUCUACAAACUACUUUUGGAGGUUUUCCACCACCACCACCGCCUCCUUUUGGUGGUAGCCCUUCUCUAGGAACUGUACCAGUGUUGCCUUUUGGAAUGAAGCCUAAGAAGAAAUACAGCCCUGAAGUGUCUAUGAAGAGGAUAAAUUGGACAAAGAUUGAACCUCAAGACAUAUCAAAACAUUGUUUUUGGAUAAAAGCUAAGGAAGAAAAAUUUGAAAAUCCAGAUCUAUUUGCAAAACUGGCACUCACUUUUGCUACACAGAUGAAAGUUAAAAAGCCAGUUGAGGGUACAGAAGAAAGGAAGCUAGCUAUCCCUAAGAAGCGAGCUAAAGAAUUAAGGCUUUUAGAUGGGAAAACAGCACAGAAUUUGUCUAUUUUCUUGGGGUCUUUCCGCAUGCCUUAUGAGGAAAUUAAAAAUAUUAUUGUAGAAGUAGAUGAAGAGAAACUGAGUGAAGCAUUGAUUCAGAAUUUAGUUAAAAACCUACCUGAACAGAAGGAACUCAGUGCCUUAGCCGAGUUGAAGAAUGAAUAUGAUGAUCUCUGUGAGCCGGAACAGUUUGGUGUUGUGAUGAGCUCUGUUAAAAUGUUACAGUCUCGUCUGAAUGGCAUCCUUUUCAAGCUAACAUUUGAAGAGCACAUAAAUAAUAUCAAGCCUGGCAUUAUGGCAGUAACAAUAGCCUGUGAGGAGCUGAAAAAGAGUGAAAACUUCUCUAAGCUGUUAGAACUUGUGUUGUUGAUUGGCAACUACAUGAAUUCUGGCUCAAGAAAUGCCCAAUCACUGGGGUUCAAUCUUAGUUUUCUGUGCAAGAUCAGAGACACAAAAUCAUCAGAUCAAAAAAUAACACUCUUGCAGUUUCUGGCUGCAAUUUGUGAAGAGAAUUAUCGGGACAUCUUGAAAUUUCCAGAUGAGCUUGAACAUGUGGAGAGUGCAAGCAAAGUUUCGGCUCAGGUUCUUAAGAGCAACCUUGAUUCCAUGGAAAAGCAGAUACAGCGUUUGGAAAAUGAUAUUAAGAAAUUUCCUAAAACAGAAGAUCCACAUGAUAAAUUUGUUGAGAAGAUGACUAGUUUUGCUAAGAGUGCCAGAGAGCAGUAUGAAAAAUUAUCAAACAUGCACAACAACAUGACCAAAUUAUAUGACAGUCUGGGGGACUACUUCUGUUUUGAUCCGAAAGCUACAAGCAGCGAGGAAUUCUUUGGUGAUCUAAGUGCAUUCAGGAUCCUAUUCUUGGAGGCACUGAAGGAAAAUAACAAGAGAAGAGAGAUGGAGGAGAAGAUUAAAAGAGCCAAGCUUGCAAAAGAGAAAGCAGAACGUGAAAAACUGGAACGGCAACAGAAGAAGAAGCAACUGAUUGACAUGAAUAAAGAGGGUGAUGAGACUGGAGUGAUGGAUAAUCUUCUUGAGGCACUGCAAUCUGGGGCAGCAUUCAGGGAUCGCAGGAAGAGAAUGCCAAGAACUCAAGUGUUUGACUUAGAAUCAUAGAAUCGUAGAAUUGGAAGAGACCACCUUGCUCCCUCCUCAAUAUGACAUCCAGAGCAAACCUAUCAUGGAGGUUGUUCCAAGCUUCGUUCCAAGAUAACAGACGGAUUACUUUGGAAAGGUCACGUUCCCGCCACAAUGAAACUAUCACAGCAGUAUGAAUUCAUCACUUCCAUCCCAUGCCAAAGAACUGGAAUGCUGUUGUAUUUACUAUAAAUAGAGACAAGGUGAAGAAUGUGUGAAAAGCAACAUUGAUCAGAGAUGAAAUUCAGUAGAAUUCCAGGAAGCAAGAACAAUAAAUACUUAUUUUUACAGAUGUUAUCUGUGCAGGAAAAAAAUUGACUUGCUAUAUCUUACUAACAAAUUUCUGAAGAAUUGUAGACAGUGUUAAAAUACAAGACUUGAUCUGGACUUCAUGAAUAUUACUCAAAGUUGUUGUGCUGGAAACUAAGACACAGACUACUGUGUUUUUGUGUAGUUCCCAUAAUUUCUUUGAGGAUACACAGUAAUCUAUGGCUAAAGUGUGAGGAAUGGUGUAUAUGAACUGAAAUGAUUAAGGCAUAAAUUCAGUGUUAAAGGGAGCAACAUCAAAGGUCAAGUCAAUGAGAGAGGGCAGGAGUCCAUCUGUAGUCUUAUUUUGAUAUGAAAGGAAAAAGGAAAUGUUGCAUAUUAAUGAAUUCAUAGGAGAUGAUAAAACCAUGUUUUCUUAGAUUUUUUUUAAACAUUAGAAUCUUAUCACAAGUUUUAAACAUGAUGGAUUCAGCUAUCUUGGUUGCAGUUAAACUUUAUCACAAAUCUACAGCCAGCCACACACACACACUAUAUACAUACAUACACACAUACACAUAUGAAAAGAUAUAUAGCUUCUUAUCACUGCUAAAAAAAGAACAAAAGCAUGGGAUUGUACCAAAGUUAAACCAUAUCAUUUGCAGAAUAUGCUUUUAACUAUAUUUAAAAUGUAUUUUCAAAUUAGAGAAACUAUAUAUGGAUAUUUUAAGAAAAACUCAAAUUAGACAAACUAUAUAUGGAUAUUUUAAGAAAAACUCUUACCUAUUUUGAUGGUUUUAAAAUUCCUUUGUAUAUGUUUAAGCUUUCAGAGAUAUUAUCUACUAUUAUGACAGGAAUCAGAAUUAAAUUCUCAUGAUAAACAUACUAUAAAAAGCUCUGACAGAUCAUAUCCAGAGGAUUCAAGUGAUGAGCUAUAACAAUACAAAAUGAGUGCCAUAUCCACUAACAGUAUGAAUCUGACACCCUCCAGAUGUGUUGACAAUAGCCAAACACCUCCAACAACCUCAGCCAGUAUGGCCAAUAACCAUGUUAUCUAGGGAGCAUGGGACUUUUAUUCCACCAUUUCUGGAAGUUGCCAGUCUGGAGAAGGUUGCUUGAGUCUAGUGCAUCAUUCCUCUUUAUUCUUUGGCCACUUUGACACAGAUUGUUUUUAGCCUGAAGUCUUAUCAAUCUGAUUCUGCUGAUAUAGAAACCACUGUAUUUUUCCCAAGCUUGCUCUCUCUCUCUCUCUCUCUCUCUGCAUAUGUUACUUUCCUGGAAUGGAAUAUUUUUCUUUCUCCUGUUGGUGAAAGAUGUACAUAAAAUAUCUUACAACAAUUUCAGUCACUAGUAAAUUUACUGAAGCCAUGUUAAUAAGGCCUGGAACAGACUGGCAGGACUGUUCUGAAGACGCCUUGGGACAACAGCAAAUACAUGCCGCAAUUCCAAAGGCAUCCUCUACCCCAGGCUCAAUAGGAGCAGAAAAGAUCUGUUCCUAUUUGGACUGGAGCUUUAGGUGGCCCUGGCAUAACUUCCGGCUGCUCCGCUGGUAUAUGGGUUCAAAAUGCUGUGCCCCCGGAGCAUCUUGAAGCCACCUCCAUGUGGUUGGCUGGGUGGCUUAGAGCAGCUUGGGGUCAUGCGGCCUCAAAGUGCCACUCCCCCAAGCUUCCCAUAAGCCGGCUUUUGCAGCCGGUCUGUUCCGGGCCUAAGUCACGAUGAGUGUUGAACACACUGUACCAAAAGGUUCUGUAGGAAGGAGAGAGGUUCAUAUCAAAUAAUAUUAAAAACUCAGGUAAAUAAGGAACAAAGCUAUCAAUCAUUUGUUUGGUUUCCUUAGCAAUAGUUUUCACAACCACUCCAAUAUGCAAUAGGCGAAAUCCUUAUUGCACACUAUGUUGCUGCUUUUGGCUGCAGGGCACACACAGAGAUAUGGGAGAAAUACAAUGUUCUGCAUACAUUCUAGUGAAAUCUUGCAUUUAUAGGAAGGCAUUAGAUAAGUUGCCAAAAAUUCUUGUGUUAUCCACUGAGUAGAUUAUAUUUUAAUGGAAUUAUGAACCUAACAGAAAGAUCCAUAAUUCCACUUCAGUGCAAUUGCUCAAAGUUGAAGGGAAGAAAUGAAGUGAGCCUAUUUACAUGGGCAGUAUUAAGGAUUAUUUGCCUGGGUGGGUCAGCCCUGGUUAGUACUUAAAUGGGAGACCACCAAUGACUACCAGGUGAUAUUUCAGAGGAAGGGACUGGCAAAGCCACCUCUGAAUAUUUCUUGCCUAAGGAAACCUUAGGAAAUUCAUAGGAUUGCCAUAAACCAACCAGCAACUUUAAAGGCACAUACACAGAGAGAAACGACAUAAAUUCAGAUGCAUGGAAAGGAAAGACCCCGGGAGCCUUCUUGCAUCUUUUUCUCCUGUGAAAGAGAAGAUGCUACAUUAAUUUCAAAGGUCAUAAUUUAGGACUUGUUAUUCAAUUAUAUUUAUUCUAUGAUUGUCAUAACUACAGAUCUUUCAAACAAGACAAUAGUUGUGGUAAAUGAACAAUUAUUUUACCUCCCAUUCUGUAAGAAUAUAUUCCUAGUCUAAAACAAACAGUAAACAUUUCUUUAAAAAUACCCAACUAACGUAUAUUUUCUAACUCAUGCAUUUAGUGUGAAAAUUUGUCUAAGACACAUAAAGCUAAAAUUAUAACUUAUUUGGAUAGAAAAAGUGUGCCUUUUUUAAUCAAUAGUUUUUUGAAACAUUGCAUUGAAACUGUUGACAUGACAUAAGGAAUUUGCUACAAUUUGAAAGCCAAAAUGUUAAAGCAAUUUUUGGAACAUUUGUGAAUAUAACCUUCCUAAUACUGCAGAGGGUUAUUUUUAAGUAACCUUAAUUAUGUUGACUGCACCAUUUGUCAUUUCUGACAUUUUGCUUUUCGGUAGCCUGAUAGUUGGUAAUGGUUAGUUAACAACUGGAACCAAAUUCUCACAAUGAGCAAAUCCAAAAAGAACCCUACAGAUGAUCGGAUAUUUCAGUUUCACAAGCCCAGUCAUUCCAUAUUUAAUAUUUAAAAUAUUUUGUGUAAUUUAAGGAACCUAUAUCUCAAUUACGCAAAAGGGAAGGAGAGUAGAUAGAAGAUGUGUUGUAAAUAGAGGAUGCUAAUAUUUAUAAAAUCUAAGAAGUAUUUUCUAAAUUUUAGGUUAGGUCAUUGAAACUUUUGCCUUUUUAUUUUUCUUGGAGAGUCAGAAUUAAAAAGAAACACCUUGCUUUUUCAUAUUGGUGUGAUCCCAAUAUUUUUGCCUGAAGACCUAGUAAGGAUAUAUUUUGGAGGUCAUAGCACCAUUUCCUCAAUGGCACUGCCUUAUUUUCUUAAAGGAAGCCUCCUUCUCAAGAAACGGAGGCUUGGAUGGUAAACAAUGGAGCUUUUGGCAAACAAUCUUAAACUCACAAAUGAUAACACAAGAUACAUUUCCAAUACUGCAGAAUAUUACUGUGCAUUAUACCAAUAAAUAUAGCAUUUGCAUGUUUUGUAAGUUACAUUUUUCAAAAGUGUUUACAAACUUUUUAGGAUUAUUAGAAUAAAACUAGAAGAUAACUAGCACUAAUGCACUUAUAUGCACACACACACACACACACACAAUUCAUUACAGAAAUUACAAUAUUGGGAGGGUAUUGCCAAAUGCCAAGCAUUUCUUAGACCAUGACUGGAAAUCAAAUAGAUCAUUACCACUUGUAACUGCACAAGUAUCAGCAGCCAUGGCCAGCAUAGGCACAGGUGAAGGAUGCUGGGAGGUGGAAACCAGCAACACAUGUAGAGCAACAUGAUUUCCACUUAAACACAUUUCCUGGUGCUUGCUCGGGAAAAAAAAAAGACAUACUGGUGCAUACAUGGACAUAAUAUGGUUACAUCCAUAUAUACCCUUUUCUGGACCUUCCAGAAGAAUGUGUCCAGUACCGCUUUUCACAGGUGCCACAUCCUAGCAUUCAACAACAGCCAAGGAGGGAAUAAAACAUAGACAAAAAUGAAGCCUUUUUUAGUCAAAGCUACUUGUUACUAAAUUAAACCACUAUGGAGAAUUUCAAAACAAGACACUUUAAAAAAGCAAGUCUCUCUGUUUUUAAAAUGUAGACACUGGUGAAUGAAGCUUGCUUGUUUGUGCUGAUCACUGUUUACCAGCUUGACAAAUAUGCAUAAAUAUUACGUGCACAAAUGUUUACCCUUUAUACCUGUAUGUAUGAGUGUAUGUACUACCUCAAGAGUUCAAUUUAGUUACAUCCCCCCUCUGCACCACCUACCAAAAGCACUCCAGUUUAAAAACAAAACAAAUAUAGAUUCAAACAAAUCAAGGCAUGGUUGAUCCAUGACUGGAUCUCCUGGGCACUUGAAUUAGGUCAGGAACAUAAUACUGGAAAAUGUGCCAUAUUAUGUUCUAAAAUAUUUCUGCUCAACUCCACCUUGAAGUUCUUUUUGUUCAGUAUAUAUAAAAAUUAAGAUGCAAUACUAUUGGCCCCAUCUGGGAAACAAAUGGGUGCAUCCAUACCUCCCCUAAUGGAACAAAAAUCAGUAUAGUGGGCAUUGGAGGGGGAAUAGUUGAAUUCAGGGAAAUAAUGAUGGGGGAGUUUAAAAUUCCUGAUUCUUUUCGGUGGGUUAUUAAAAAAGAAAUUAAGGCAUGGAAAAUGUAGUCAUGGGUCUCCAGUGACUCAUCUGAGUUGGCCUUAGGCGUCUUGAGAAAUUGUCUCAAGACAUCAUAAAGGCGACUUGAGAAAUGGUCAUUUUCAUUAAUUUGAAAUUUGAUUUCAGUCAUUUAUUCUCAAGAUCUCAUGCAAUUAAGAAUCAGUCUAGGAGGCACUUAGGAAUUUAUGGGAGUCAUCCCACUUGCACCUCAGCUGUCACCAAGACUUUAUAUGCUUUUGUAGCAUAUUAUGUACCAGAUUGCAGAAUUUACUACCACUAUAACUUGCAUCUUCUGGUUCACAAAUUUUUCCCAUACAGAUUACUUCUACUUGAUGAUGAUGCUCAGGACAAAAAUAUGGUUAAAAUAAUCUAAAUAACCUCUUAGCUUUAGUUUUAGGUUUACAUAGGAAAAUAUGGACACCUAAUGCAUGAUAGGUUUGCUCUCCAACCAAAUACAGCAUUAGUCUCCCACAGAUCAUGGGGGCAGAGCUAGCAGCCAGCAGCACUAUGUAACUGCUGUCCCAGUCUUUUCAGCUUAGUCUCUGCAUUCCAUUAAGUGCUGGGAGAGGCAUGCAAAUUUUGAAAUGCAUUGGCCUUCUUAGCUGCCACAUCACACUGUUGACUCAUAUUCAACUUGUGGUCUACUUGGACUCCUAAAUCCCUUUCACACAUAGCUUCAUUUAGCCAGGUGUCACCCAUCCUAUAUCCAUUCAUUUCAUUUUUCCACUCUACAAUAAGUGCAGAACCUUGCAUUUCUCCAUGUUGAAUUUCAUUUUGUUAGCUUUGGCCCAGCCUUCUAGUUUCUAUUUGUAUUUGUAUGACCAUGUAUAAAGAGAAAAUUUGAAAUAAUAGACUUAUAGGUAACCACUAAAUGAAAAAAAGUUAUGAUGCUCAUAGAAACAAGAGGUUAAAGAGUCAGAAUACACAAGGAAAUUAAAAGGAAGACAUAAUCAACUUUAUAUAUUCACAAGCAAGGAAUGAAAGAAUAAUUACCCAUGGAUAUCUAAAGCAAUGCAGAGUUUAAUUGGGAUAAAGAAAUUAAGAUAUGUAGUACAUUAUAUCUGAGAUAACCAAGCUUGUAAGUAAUAUUUCGGUAUAGUAGCUAAGGUAUGGAAGUUGUAAAAAGUAAAGUUAUCAAUUCAAAAUUGCUAAUGGAACAUCGUUUGCUUUUAUUUUUUAUUUUGUGAAAAUAUGAAUA